rnacentral:rRNA from 1 species
GACGAGCCACGCGAACGUUAUUCGGAAUUACUGGGCUUAAAGGGUGCGUAGGCGGUGAAUCGGGUUGAAAGUGAAAGUCGCCAAAAAGUGGCGGAAUGCUCUCGAAACCAAUUCACUUGAGUGAGACAGAGGAGAGUGGAAUUUCGUGUGUAGGGGUGAAAUCCGUAGAUCUACGAAGGAACGCCAAAAGCGAAGGCAGCUCUCUGGGUCCCUACCGACGCUGGGGUGCGAAAGCAUGGGGAGCGAACAGG